rnacentral:rRNA from 1 species
GACAGAGGGGGCAAGCGUUGCUCGGAAUUACUGGGCGUAAAGGGCGCGUAGGCGGGAUGGCAAGUCGGUCGUGAAAUCCUUCGGCUCAACCGAAGAACGUCGAUCGAUACUGCUGUUCUUGAGGGUUGCAGAGGAGACUGGAAUUCCCGGUGUAGCGGUGAAAUGUGUAGAUAUCAGGAGGAACACCUGCGGUGUAGACGGCUUACUGGACCAUAACUGACGCUGAGGCACGAAAGCGUGGGUAGCAAACAGG